UACGUAGGUCGCAAGCGUUGUCCGGAUUUACUGGGCGUAAAGCGCACGUAGGCGGAUCUUUAAGUCAGGGGUGAAAUCCCGAGGCUCAACCUCGGAACUGCCUUUGAUACUGGGGAUAUCGAGUCCGGGAGAGGUGAGUGGAACUGCGAGUGUAGAGGUGAAAUUCGUAGAUAUUCGCAAGAACACCAGUGGCGAAGGCGGCUCACUGGCCCGGUACUGACGCUGAGGCACGAAAGCGUGGGGAGCAAACAGG
rnacentral:rRNA from 1 species